rnacentral:tRNA from 1 species
GCCGUUAUGGCGGAAUAGGCAGACGCAGGGGACUUAAAAUCCCCCGGUAGCAAUAUCGUGCCAGUUCGAUUCUGGCUAACGGCACCA